rnacentral:rRNA from 1 species
GCGUGUAUGAAGAAGGCCUUCGGGUUGUAAAGUACUUUCAGCGGGGAGGAAGGGAGUAAAGUUAAUACCUUUGCUCAUUGACGUUACCCGCAGAAGAAGCACCGGCUAACUCCGUGCCAGCAGCCGCGGUAAUACGGAGGGUGCAAGCGUUAAUCGGAAUUACUGGGCGUAAAGCGCACGCAGGCGGUUUGUUAAGUCAGAUGUGAAAUCCCCGGGCUCAACCUGGGAACUGCAUCUGAUACUGGCAAGCUUGAGUCUCGUAGAGGGGGGUAGAAUUCCAGGUGUAGCGGUGAAAUGCGUAGAGAUCUGGAGGAAUACCGGUGGCGAAGGCGGCCCCCUGGACGAAGACUGACGCUCAGGUGCGAAAGCGUGGGGAGCAAACAGGAUUAGAUACCC